AUUGAACGCUGGCGGCAUGCCUAACACAUGCAAGUCGAGCGGAUGAAGGGAGCUUGCUCCUGGAUUCAGCGGCGGACGGGUGAGUAAUGCCUAGGAAUCUGCCUGGUAGUGGGGGAUAACGUCCGGAAACGGGCGCUAAUACCGCAUACGUCCUGAGGGAGAAAGUGGGGGAUCUUCGGACCUCACGCUAUUAGAUGAGCCUAGGUCGGAUUAGCUAGUUGGUGGGGUAAAGGCCUACCAAGGCGACGAUCCGUAACUGGUCUGAGAGGAUGAUCAGUCACACUGGAACUGAGACACGGUCCAGACUCCUACGGGAGGCAGCAGUGGGGAAUAUUUGACAAUGGGCGAAAGCCUGAUCCAGCCAUGCCGCGUGUGUGAAGAAGGUCUUCGGAUUGUAAAGCACUUUAAGUUGGGAGGAAGGGCAGUAAGUUAAUACCUUGCUGUUUUGACGUUACCAACAGAAUAAGCACCGGCUAACUUCGUG
rnacentral:rRNA from 1 species